UUAAGCGACUAAGCGUACACGGUGGAUGCCCUGGCAGUCAGAGGCGAUGAAGGACGUGCUAAUCUGCGAUAAGCGUCGGUAAGGUGAUAUGAACCGUUAUAACCGGCGAUUUCCGAAUGGGGAAACCCAGUGUGAUUCGUCACACUAUCAUUAACUGAAUCCAUAGGUUAAUGAGGCGAACCGGGGGAACUGAAACAUCUAAGUACCCCGAGGAAAAGAAAUCAACCGAGAUUCCCCCAGUAGCGGCGAGCGAACGGGGAGGAGCCCAGAGCCUGAAUCAGUGUGUGUGUUAGUGGAAGCGUCUGGAAAGGCGCGCGAUACAGGGUGACAGCCCCGUACACAAAAAUGCACAUACUGUGAGCUCGAUGAGUAGGGCGGGACACGUGGUAUCCUGUCUGAAUAUGGGGGGACCAUCCUCCAAGGCUAAAUACUCCUGACUGACCGAUAGUGAACCAGUACCGUGAGGGAAAGGCGAAAAGAACCCCGGCGAGGGGAGUGAAAAAGAACCUGAAACCGUGUACGUACAAGCAGUGGGAGCACGCUUCGGCGUGUGACUGCGUACCUUUUGUAUAAUGGGUCAGCGACUUAUAUUCUGUAGCAAGGUUAACCGAAUAGGGGAGCCGAAGGGAAACCGAGUCUUAACUGGGCGUUAAGUUGCAGGGUAUAGACCCGAAACCCGGUGAUCUAGCCAUGGGCAGGUUGAAGGUUGGGUAACACUAACUGGAGGACCGAACCGACUAAUGUUGAAAAAUUAGCGGAUGACUUGUGGCUGGGGGUGAAAGGCCAAUCAAACCGGGAGAUAGCUGGUUCUCCCCGAAAGCUAUUUAGGUAGCGCCUCGUGAAUUCAUCUCCGGGGGUAGAGCACUGUUUCGGCAAGGGGGUCAUCCCGACUUACCAACCCGAUGCAAACUGCGAAUACCGGAGAAUGUUAUUACGGGAGACACACGGCGGGUGCUAACGUCCGUCGUGAAGAGGGAAACAACCCAGACCGCCAGCUAAGGUCCCAAAGUCAUGGUUAAGUGGGAAACGAUGUGGGAAGGCCCAGACAGCCAGGAUGUUGGCUUAGAAGCAGCCAUCAUUUAAAGAAAGCGUAAUAGCUCACUGGUCGAGUCGGCCUGCGCGGAAGAUGUAACGGGGCUAAACCAUGCACCGAAGCUGCGGCAGCGACACUAUGUGUUGUUGGGUAGGGGAGCGUUCUGUAAGCCUGUGAAGGUGGCCUGUGAGGGUUGCUGGAGGUAUCAGAAGUGCGAAUGCUGACAUAAGUAACGAUAAAGCGGGUGAAAAGCCCGCUCGCCGGAAGACCAAGGGUUCCUGUCCAACGUUAAUCGGGGCAGGGUGAGUCGACCCCUAAGGCGAGGCCGAAAGGCGUAGUCGAUGGGAAACAGGUUAAUAUUCCUGUACUUGGUGUUACUGCGAAGGGGGGACGGAGAAGGCUAUGUUGGCCGGGCGACGGUUGUCCCGGUUUAAGCGUGUAGGCUGGUUUUCCAGGCAAAUCCGGAAAAUCAAGGCUGAGGCGUGAUGACGAGGCACUACGGUGCUGAAGCAACAAAUGCCCUGCUUCCAGGAAAAGCCUCUAAGCAUCAGGUAACAUCAAAUCGUACCCCAAACCGACACAGGUGGUCAGGUAGAGAAUACCAAGGCGCUUGAGAGAACUCGGGUGAAGGAACUAGGCAAAAUGGUGCCGUAACUUCGGGAGAAGGCACGCUGAUAUGUAGGUGAAGCGACUUGCUCGUGGAGCUGAAAUCAGUCGAAGAUACCAGCUGGCUGCAACUGUUUAUUAAAAACACAGCACUGUGCAAACACGAAAGUGGACGUAUACGGUGUGACGCCUGCCCGGUGCCGGAAGGUUAAUUGAUGGGGUUAGCGGUAACGCGAAGCUCUUGAUCGAAGCCCCGGUAAACGGCGGCCGUAACUAUAACGGUCCUAAGGUAGCGAAAUUCCUUGUCGGGUAAGUUCCGACCUGCACGAAUGGCGUAAUGAUGGCCAGGCUGUCUCCACCCGAGACUCAGUGAAAUUGAACUCGCUGUGAAGAUGCAGUGUACCCGCGGCAAGACGGAAAGACCCCGUGAACCUUUACUAUAGCUUGACACUGAACAUUGAGCCUUGAUGUGUAGGAUAGGUGGGAGGCUUUGAAGUGUGGACGCCAGUCUGCAUGGAGCCGACCUUGAAAUACCACCCUUUAAUGUUUGAUGUUCUAACGUUGGCCCCUGAUCGGGGUUGCGGACAGUGUCUGGUGGGUAGUUUGACUGGGGCGGUCUCCUCCUAAAGAGUAACGGAGGAGCACGAAGGUUGGCUAAUCCUGGUCGGACAUCAGGAGGUUAGUGCAAUGGCAUAAGCCAGCUUGACUGCGAGCGUGACGGCGCGAGCAGGUGCGAAAGCAGGUCAUAGUGAUCCGGUGGUUCUGAAUGGAAGGGCCAUCGCUCAACGGAUAAAAGGUACUCCGGGGAUAACAGGCUGAUACCGCCCAAGAGUUCAUAUCGACGGCGGUGUUUGGCACCUCGAUGUCGGCUCAUCACAUCCUGGGGCUGAAGUAGGUCCCAAGGGUAUGGCUGUUCGCCAUUUAAAGUGGUACGCGAGCUGGGUUUAGAACGUCGUGAGACAGUUCGGUCCCUAUCUGCCGUGGGCGCUGGAGAACUGAGGGGGGCUGCUCCUAGUACGAGAGGACCGGAGUGGACGCAUCACUGGUGUUCGGGUUGUCAUGCCAAUGGCACUGCCCGGUAGCUAAAUGCGGAAGAGAUAAGUGCUGAAAGCAUCUAAGCACGAAACUUGCCCCGAGAUGAGUUCUCCCUGACUCCUUGAGAGUCCUGAAGGAACGUUGAAGACGACGACGUUGAUAGGCCGGGUGUGUAAGCGCAGCGAUGCGUUGAGCUAACCGGUACUAAUGAACCGUGAGGCUUAACCUU
rnacentral:rRNA from 1 species